rnacentral:lncRNA from 1 species
AUAAAACUGUAUAGAAGAGCAGCAGGGCCAUAAAGCAGGGUGGAGGGAGUGGGGCUCCGACCCCAAAAUCUACCGAUGUUCUUGAACCUACCCUUGCUUUUUUGGGAAGGGGGAAAUAGAUACACUUUCUCGUCUCCUUCUUUUCUUUCUUGUCUCUCAGGUGGGGUGGGGUGGGGAUCAUGGCCAUGCGUCAGGGCAGACCGGAAGGGAGGCGGCUAGUCGGUGGCUCUGAAGAGCCAGAAGGCUAAUGAGGAUGAUGGGGGGGGGGAAGAGAGAGAGGGANNNNNNNNNNNNNNNNNNNNNNNNNNNNNNNNNNNGAAUAAGGGGUGUCCAGAUUCCUUGCAGAGACGGCCGGACCCCCAAGCACACCGCUGAGAUGCCAACAGUCCUGGGUUCGAAUCCCAGCUACAGCAUCUGGGUUUUUUUUCCCCCCUAGCCCAGGUGUUGUGUGGUGGUGGUGUGGGGGGAUAAGAGGAGAUGAAAAACAGACCUGGAGAUUCCAAGAAAGGAGCCGCUUGGAAGGGAAAGGAAACACGCCCAGGCGUGUAUAGGAAAGAAUUUGGGGUACCUCGCAAAACUGGCUGAUUUGUUGCCGCUGGAGAGUGGGGUCGGUUACAGAUCUGGGGGGGCAGGUAGAUGGGGAGAGGGGGUGCAGACCCCCCCCCAAAAAAGAAGAAAAGGGGGAAGAAUCCUCCUCCAUCACCACCACCCCAUUGUCCAGACGGGCCAAGGAUCCAGGGCUGGGCGAGGCCAGGAAAAGGGGGGAGAGAGAGCAAGGCUGCCCAGGUGCGGCGCUGGGUCCGAGGGCGCCGGGCUCUGGCCAGGAACCUUCAACAGUGAGUGCUGAUAUGCGAUUUCCUCAAAACGGACAGGAAAACCUGGAUUCUAAUAUUGAAUUGUUGUGAAAAGAUACAAGCACAAAGAACGCACAGAGAACAACAACAACAACAAAAACCUCUUUUGCCAUCUUGAAGAACAAGGAAAGGACUGGUGUGGUCCGAAAGAUUACACAAAGGCAAGAGUGGCUGAUCCCUCUUAUUGGACCAUGUAACAUAUUUAUUAUUUAAUUUUUGUAACGGUGCAUUCAGAGUUACCACCUACUCUUGCAAUGCCAUGAAGAACACUCAGUUUUUGUUUUUUUGUUUUUUUACACAGAGCCAUUGGAACAAAACCACUUUACAGGAAACACAGGCUAUUGCUAGAGGGAUGCAACAUCAUCCAGGGUAGGGUUGGAGAACUUACCUUUUUUUAAAAAAGCCACUGGUUACCGUUAUUGUUUCAAGAUUUUCAACGCAAUUGCAGUCUGUGUCUUCUCAAAGGCUUUCACGGCCGGGAUCUGAUGGUUGUGGGUUUUUCGGGCUGUCUCGCCAUGUUCUGGAGGUUUUUCUUCCUAACGUCUCGCCAGUCUCCGCGGCCGGCAUCUUCAGAGGACUGGAGUCAGAACUCUGUCUGUGCUCUGGUGCAGUUCGUUUGGAUAGUUGAGUGUAUUUAUAGCUGUGGGAUCAGCUUUUGUCCUUUUCAGGAGAUUGAGUGAUUAGGGUGAUCAGCGUGUUUUUUAAAAAACCUUAUCUAAAUAUUUUAAAAAUAUUCAAACAUGCAUUAAGAACAAAACAAGUAUAAUUUUUUAAAUUAAAAGUUAAGUUUCGUGGGGAUAGUUGAAAACGGCACCAGAGCACAGACAGCAAACCCGAGGAUGUUGCUUGGGUGCAAAGGUUUGAGAAUCUCCAAGAGAGUUUUUUUUUAAUUUCUGAAAAAAAAAGAAUUACAUGUAUAUGGGCAAGCAAACAAACAAAUAAGCAAACAAACAAACAAACAAACAGCACUUGAGGCCAAAUCCUUUUCAUAUUCCUCAUCGAACUUGCCCUUCUCUGUCUUUCUCACCCAGAUGAUUGUUUGAUGAACUGCUUCUGUGAAUCGGGGCAACUUCUCCAUCACACAAAAGAAGUCUUUUUUUCACAAGGGCAACAUUUCGUAUUCCUGUGUCUCGUUGUACCAAAAGCUCUCUGAAAUAGCCUUUGAAAGAUCACGUAAUUUAUUCCAGGCAGAAGUAUUAAUCGGUGUCCUUCAUCCUCUCUGACACUUCAACGGGGAGCCAUAGACACCUUUGUCCGACCCCCCUCAUUAUGCCAAUUCUCGGAGUUGACUUUGCUGCUCCUGCCUGUUUGCUUUGAAGUUUGCUUGAUAGAAGAGCUUCUGAAUUAUUUAAAAUGCAAACAUCUGGAUGAAAUAAACCGGGAAGCAUCCGAGCUGGCUUCGUGCCU